rnacentral:rRNA from 1 species
GACGAACGCUGGCGGCGUGCUUAACACAUGCAAGUCGAACGGAAAGGCCCUGCUUUUGUGGGGUUCUCGAGUGGCGAACGGGUGAGUAACACGUGAGUAACCUGCCCUUGACUUUGGGGUAUAUCUAGGAAAAAGGGGCGAUAAUAGGGUAGAAUAUCUUGCUCCGCGUGGGGGAUAGGAAAAAUACGGUGGUGGGGGCUGUACUAGCGGGUUAUCAGCUUGUUGGGGGGGUAGGGGCUUACCAAGGCUAUGACGGGUAGCCGGCCUAGGAGGGUGACCGGCCACAUUGGGACUGAGAUACGGCCCAGACGCCUACGGGAGGCAGCAGUGGGGAAUAUGGCACAAUGGGCGGAAGCCAGAUGCAGCAACGCCGCGUGCGGGAUGACGGCCUUCGGGUGGUAAACCGCUUUCGCCGGUGACGAAGCGUGAGUGACGGUAAUGGGUAAAGAAGCACCGGCUAACUACGUG